GCCAUCUUCAGGGCCACAGUCCACUGGGGGUUUGCGGCCAUUUCUCCUCUAGGAUUAGUUCUCUUCCACAUGAGGUUAUUGGUAGGUCAGCUACUAUCUACAGCAGGUGGAGACAGUGCCCACAUCAGCCCUCCCACCUGACUAUGGUCACUGCAGUAAAGGCUCUCCACAUGCUGGGCAGCAUGGCUCAGGCAUGGGAUGAUGGGACGAUGACACAGCCCAGGGUGGACAUGCCCCAGUUCAACCUGCCUAGCAGCAGUGUGGCAGCACUAAGAUGGGAAAAUUCACGACAGCGUUGGAAUGAGGAAAGCAGAUGGCGGCCGGUGGCCCUCCUAGGCAUUUGCAAUACCCCCAACUGAUCAGUCUAGGCAGGCAAGGCAGGUACUUACCUCUGCCCCUCCCUCUUCUCCUCCUACCCCACGCUAACAUACCCUCCACAAGUGCAGUUCCUCCAGCCAGUCUUGCUCCCUCAGCCCGUCUGCCUCCUCACAGGUCCACAGAGAGUCCCUCAGAGUCUCAUACCUUCUUCCUCCUCCACUAAGACUGGGUUCUGGAAGCUUCUUCAGCCUCCCCACCACCAACACCCAUGGGCAAGGUCCUCUGUGCCCUGGACCAGCUCCCUCUCACAAUUUCUCUCUUCCUUGAUGUGCCCUUCUCCCUAUGGGAAUGGGUGCAGAGCCAGCAUCCUUCAUCAACAUGCACUUGUCCAGAGGAGGGGCCUGGUUGUCCCCACAGUCUCUGAGGGAUCUCCAGGAAAGGAAGGCUCAGUGCCCCUUGAGGCUACCCCCAAAGCAGCAGCCCCAGAAAGGGGCUUACUAGGUACAGCCAGGAGUUGCACAAAACAGAGCUGCUGUGCAUGCUGAACCAUACUUCACAACUUGUUCCGGCAGGUCAACAAAGCUGGGGACUGGGGCACACAGUGAGAGAGGGCAAGAGCAGGAGGGUUACUGGCAUCCUUCCACCCCACGCUACAAAGACUUGCCAGCUAUGCCUCAACAUUCUUGUUCUUUCAAAGAAGAAGGACGUGGAAGAAUUUCCAAAAGUAUCAGCAAAGUGCUAGGAGGCUGCUCGGAGAAGGCAAGUAUGGGUGAGCAGCUUGAUGGGGAGGGAGGGAAGGAUGAGGGACUGGCAGGAAGGAACACAGUUCACCAGGGGGAAAACAGCGCACAUGUGCAUCUGUGUGCAUGUGUGCACACAUGUGUGCGUGUGUGUGCAGCAUGUUGGGUGGAAGCAGUGAGAAGAGCUGUACUUGGAAGUACUUGAUAUCCGCAAAGUGGAAAAGGUAGACUGACCCUGGGAAAUCUGCAAAAUCCUGCACCAUCCAGUGUCUCUGUGUGAAACAGCAAUGGCCUCCUACAGAUUUUGACUCUUCCUGUUUUAUAAAUGAAAUUUACCAAAUUCCUAUAGUAUGACCUUACCAGCAGAGCUAAAGAAGUGUAUAUGAGUCAAUGUAUAUGGUAGGAAAGGGAGCUUGACAGUAGCCAUAGAAUUUCAUCUGGCCACAAAAGAACUCUAGUCCUGAGGCUAGAUGCGUGUCCAUACUGGAAUCCGUCUGCUUGAGCUGGGAGAUUAGAAUAGGCAGGGCCACCCAGAAAGAUGUGACAUCUGGGGAAGUGUCAAUUCAAGCAUCAUCCAGACACCAAAGAUUCAUAUUCUAUUACCAGAAAAAUUAUAAGGUUGGGGAGGGUAGGAGAGAAUGGCAUUCCAUGGCUGUGAUGGCAAUGUGGUAACUAACGUCGCUACCUUGCUGCAUGGUGAACAACCGGUCUAAGCUAGGCACCCCUUCCCCCAACCCAAGGAAGUGGUAUCUUACUUACGAGGCUAAUGUCUUGGGCAGAAGGGACAAAAAUAAGAAACUGUUUUGCAUGGAGCUCCAGAAUUACUGAUAUUUCAUUAUUGGGUUGUUUAACUUACAUUUUGAACCACUCUCAGGCAGAAGAGCCGAGUCACCAUCCACUAUUUCAAAGGAAGACCUGUAAGAUGAAAAUAUUUAGAUCAAUAGCAGUCUGGAUAGUUUCCAAAUUCCAUAAGUAGCAAAGAAGAUUUAUAGAAAUUUGACCAAAAGAGAUGUAUCCUGAGCUACACUGGGACAAAAGUUAUUUCUCAUGGUAUUUUUAGUUCUAAAACCUAGAGCAUGAAUACUUUUAAAUCAGCAACCUAAAAGACACAUUGCAAAAAAUAUACUUUACAUAUAAUAUAAACUACUGCAUUUGUUCACUGCCUCUUCUUGAGGCUUGUAAGUACGAAGAUACCCAACAGAAGGAUUAAACACAGAAGGAUCAAAACCC
rnacentral:lncRNA from 1 species